rnacentral:rRNA from 1 species
AUUGAACGCUGGCGGCAUGCCUUACACAUGCAAGUCGAACGGCAGCACGGGUGCUUGCACCUGGUGGCGAGUGGCGAACGGGUGAGUAAUAUAUCGGAACGUACCUUAUUGUGGGGGAUAACGCAGCGAAAGCUGUGCUAAUACCGCAUAAUCCCUAAGGGGGAAAGCGGGGGACCGUAAGGCCUCGCGCAAUUAGAGCGGCCGAUACCUGAUUAGCUAGUUGGUGAGGUAAAGGCUCACCAAGGCAACGAUCAGUAGCUGGUCUGAGAGGACGAUCAGCCACACUGGGACUGAGACACGGCCCAGACUCCGACGUGAGGCAGCAGUGGGGAAUUUUGGACAAUGGGGGCAACCCUGAUCCAGCAAUGCCGCGUGAGUGAAGAAGGCCUUCGGGUUGUAAAGCUCUUUUGUCAGGGAAGAAACAGCAGCUCUAACACAGUUUGCGAAUGACGGUACCUGAAGAAUAAGCACCGGCUAACUACGUGCCAGCAGCCGCAGUAA